GGAUAAGACAACCCAACCAUCGGAGAACCGACCGCUGCCGCACCAGAGCACUUUCCGGCCGCAAACGAGGUAAAAUUUCUCCCAUUGGCUCGGAUUUCGAUGCUGAACCCCCUGUGGCUAAAUCGGAGCCAAACCAUCGGUCAAUUUGCUGGAAAAUGCUGCCGAAGCCCAGCGGCGCCGCCACAGGUUUUUUCGAUUUUUGCCUCCGAUGAGGUCCUUCCCAAUUCCCAUUCGAUGUAAUUUUUACACCACUGUGGCCACCGUCCUUUCCUCUACAGGUUGAUCGGAGCAAAACGCCAAAUCGCAACUCGUGCCGAAGGAGCCACCGCACCCGAGACCUCCGCCGCCGGUAAGUCUCGAUUUUCUGUAUUUUUUUGGCCCACCGAGGGCCUUACGUGUGUUUUCUUGCAGGAACUGGUGCUAGUUUGGCUGAAUUCGGUCGAAAAUAGCCGAAAACAGCCAACCCGAGGCGGAUCGCCGUCGUGGGCAGUGGCGCUGUUGCCGGAGCACGACGGAGCUGUCGUGCUGGAAUUUCAAAAUUGGCUGAGGAAGCCCUGGGUUUGAUUUGGAGGUUUUUGGGAACAUGUGCAGGUACCAGAAUUGUGUUUCAGUUCCUGAAAAAAAAUUCAGGGAAUUUAGGGACUGCCCAUAGGCACAAUAAAAAAUCGAUUUUAGACUUCGAAUCAAGUAAGGAUCUCUCACUCUAUUUCUUAUCACGGUAUUAAAGUCUAAUAAAUGAUAAAAUGGUAUUUUAUGAAUUCAUGGAUAUGUAUAAUUAAUUAAGGUUGCUAAUGGAGCCCGAAUCUGAUAUGUUUUUCAGUCAGUUCUUGUUUGAUUUAUUUUACAGUCUAAAUGCAGUGUAGUAUAUGAUUUAUUUAUUCUGUGGCUUCGUAUGCAUGAUUCACUGUUUAAUUUAUUAUGGUUUGAUUAUUGUGAACCCGAUGUUAUAUUUACUUUGUUUGGUAUUUGUUACUGGUUUACGUAUUUAUUUUUGAUUGGGUAAAUGAGACUAAGAACAAAUAGAAAUGGGAUUGAGUUGAUAAAUGGAUAGGUUAACAGCCUCACUAGACAUCCUGGGAGAUGGUGGAUGGACCAGGUCCAUAGGGAACCCUACCGGGAACGUUGUCUCUUAUACCGGAUGAGGUAUUGAGACUUUAAAUAUUUUGGCGCUCAUACCGAACAGGGUAUGGGGAGGCCCGCUUCACCCUCAUACCGGACGGGGUAUUGAGGUUUAUGAUUUUGGCCACUAUACAGGACGGGGUAUGGGGAUGGCCCUGGAGUUAAGUUAUUAAGGUGAAUGGUUCACGUGUAGCGAGGACCCCUGUGGAUCCCCAUGGACACUGGUAGACUGGUAAAAGAGGAAAUUUGUUGCUUGAUGAUUAAAAUAUUAAAAGUAUGACAUGUGUUAUGUUACAUAGUGCGUAUGAUUUCAUGAUAUUAUAAUGUUAUUAUUUUCAUAAGUUGUUUUCAUGAAUCUCACCGAAAUAAGUGGACAGUAAAAGGUUUUAUUAUUGAUAAAUGGAUUUUUUAUAAAUUAUGCUCCAUUAGUCGUUUUUGUUUUCUACCAACCUUUAUUCUGUGACAGUGAGAUAGUGUGACAUCUUUACUAGGCUAGUGUAGCUCAUUCCUUACUUAACCAUUUCAGAUCAGGAGGACUUGAUUUCCGAGCCCGUUCUGCAGGAAGACGGUGAGUAGAUGCCUAAGGAUUUCAUAAUUUUCCUUAUAGUAUUCAUUUCUAGUAUUUACUUUAGUUAGCUUAUUCUUUCAUGCGUUUAAUACGUUUUGGUUAUUGUGUAAGGAAUGUUAAUCAUAAUAUUUUAUUUCGCUUCCGCACUUAUAAUUUUAUAUAUGCAUUUUCUUUUAAUUUCCUGGGUCGUUACAGUGUAUUACAAAUUGUAAACUCUAAAAUGAAUUGUCACGU
rnacentral:lncRNA from 1 species